rnacentral:lncRNA from 1 species
UAAAACUUAAUGAGUAAUUAAUUAAAUCUAUUGCAAGCAGGUUAAAUAGAUUACUAAAUGUAGUGAAUGGAGAGAGGAAAAGAGACAAUUAAUCAAUACAAACUCAAGAGACUUUAUAGUGGUUCGGAGCCAACUCUUACUCCUACGUCCACUCCCCAAGCUGCACUUGGGAGUUCACUAUAAUCCCUAGGAUUACAGCUAGUUGUUUUACAAGUUCACAACCCAACUUGUUGUUUUUGCGAGAUCACAACGAACUCGGUCGGUUUUCACAGGCUCACCGACUAGAACCACCCGAUUGUUUUUCC